UACGGAGGGUGCAAGCGUUGUCCGGAUUUAUUGGUUUUAAAGGGUGCGUAGGUGGCCUUAUAAGUCAGCGGUGAAAGUCUGCAGCUUAACUGUAGAACUGCCAUUGAUACUGUAAGGCUUGAGUACUGAUGAGGUAGGCGGAAUUGAUAGUGUAGCGGUGAAAUGCAUAGAUAUGACAUAGAACACCAAUUGCGAAGGCAGCUCACUAAGCAAAUAUUGACGCUGAGGCACGAAAGCGUGGGAUCAAACAGG
rnacentral:rRNA from 1 species